rnacentral:lncRNA from 1 species
UGUGUGGCAUGAUUUCUGAAGCUUUUAGAUUCAUUAACUCAAAAAAUUAAUAUCUUCCCCCACUCGCUUUUCUUUUAGCUCAGUUUAAACUUAUCACUAAUGCGUCACAUGGCAAAUAGAUUUUACAAUUAUUUUCAGCUCAAUUGGAAUAACAUUUCCAUCACAUAUAUAUAAUAAACAAUUUCUGAAUAAAUAAAUGCGUUAUUCUAAAAAUAAGACGGAAAACAUUUCAUCUCUUCCUCAUCCUUGAACAAGCCAGUGAUCAAGAACGUCCCUGCUUGCCUUCACAACCAGUUAUAGUAAGCUGCCUCCACCCAGCAAUACCGCCAUCGACACCGCUGCUAUAUCAUCUUCAGCGUCUACUGGCAACUGUUCUGCUACUAUAACGACUGCAGCUUUACCGACAUUUCUUUACCAAUAAGCAGCAGCAGUAGCAGUCGCACACACCAACACCUCCACCACUACCAACACCAUUACCACCGUUUACUGCUGCCAUCCGGGGGAGGCACACCAAGUAAAGACGAAGGCGGUGGAGGAAGAAGAAGCCGCCGACGACGAAGAGGAAGAAGAAGAAAACGUCGUGGUUCGACGCUGCUAGAAUAAACCGACUACUACCAAGCACCUUAACGUCAGCCAGGGAAGAAAGAAGCUUUCCCUUGUUGAAACAAGGACUGGAGUGUCGGCUUCAUCCCAGCAUCGUUUGGUGAAGCCGAACAACUCCAUCAACGUUGUCGCCACCACCCAAAAUAUCUACCAAAAUACCUACCCACCCCCCAGUCGGGAUAUAUUUUGGGGGUGGGAGAAAAAGUGAGAGAGUUAGAAAGAGAAAGAUGUGGAUUUCAAUACGUAUCCUUUUGACAAGCAACAACAUCCAUGGCUGAAACCAGCUCCAGGCACGUCCUCUCUGUGGUAACAGCAUUGAACCUCCUUCGACAGCACCAAGUCUGGUCAGGGCACAUUACUACAGAAAAGGUUUUUAGAGCCCUUAUAAAAAGAAAACAAAUCUAAGGGAAGACGUCAUUUAAAAAAGUAUUAAAGUAAAAAUAUAUAUAUAUAUAAAACACCGCGGAAAUUUGGAGAGAUAUGGCACCCACAAGGAGCACAGGACAGUGGCAAGGUGUCCGCCGCCGUCGCCGGGGAGGGACUCUUUAUUACCAUUAUUAUUCUGGCACUGUCGCAGAAGGAGGAUCUUUACUCAGGAAAAGCUUGACACUGGAACCAUUAUUAUUAUAUUCCGUGUUACAUCUGCUUUUAUUCUAUCAAGGGUGUGAAGCUCUUGAUUUAG